ensembl:lncRNA
GAACAAUUUAAUAUUAAGAAUCAGGAACUUUAAAAAUAUUUUUAUGCUUUGAAUCUUUAAAAAAUACGGUUACAUUUUGCUACAGCUGGACAAUGUUAGCACAGAACCAUAGAAACGACGUGUUCAUGGAUAUGGGAAAUAUUUUCAAGCUAUUAAACACAAAAAUCAAGAUACCCCAAAUAAUUUACAGAGAAUUAUCUAUUAUGUAAAAAGAAAAAAAUACAUAAUCUCAUGUGAAGAAAUAUCCCCAAAUGUCAACUGUUUGCUUGCGGUUAGUGGAAUGAUGGGUACUUUUUCUUUUUCCCUCUUUCUUUUUGGUCUGAUUAGUUACACUUCUGUACUGGGCCCAGUUUAUACAGUAAGUACAUUUUACUUUGAUUAUGUGGUGGCAGGCGGAGGUUGAAGCCGACCUCAAAUCACCUUGGGUUCCUUCCCAAUUCUUUGAAUCAGGUUAAUUUCCUCCUGGUUAAUUUCCCCCUUUUAAAAGUGUGGAAGCCUCCGCAGGGCCCUUCAGAGGAGCUCAGGGAGGCUGGAAAGAAGAUUCGAAAGGGUGAGGCGCAGCGAGGAAGGCGGGCUUCCGCGCGUUCCUGCCCCGCCAUCAGCGCCGCCCGGCGGUCCUGCCCGGCGCGUCCCGACUCGUUUGCACCCAGGACGCCCCCAGACCGCGCGGGGCCACAGCUGCCAAGACCCUGGGCGGCCCGACGUUCCCGCUCCGCCUCGCCCCAGGCCCGGCGCCCAAGCCCCGGCCACGGCCGGCGGAAGCGCCCGGGCCCAGAGGCAGCGCGAGGCCCCUCCCCGCCAGCUCAGCCUCCAGGCGCGCGGGGCGGCGGGGGCGGCGGCGCGGACGUGCCCGGCCCCACGGAGGCCUCCCUGCGCCGCCCCAGGCGCGCGGCCCGCGGGCGGGGAGAGCAGAGGAGACGCGGGGAGGGAACGCGAGGCCAGGCAGCCCCGCAGCCCGGACGCGCUGCCUUCCCCGCGGCCUGCGAGGCCUCUUGGUUCCCGAGUCGUGCUCGGCCGGCGGAUGGGACUCGGGUCUAGUCCUGCGGACUCUACCAACCAGAUCGAUCGUUAAGGUCCACUAAGUCCUAGACUCCAGACAAGAAUUUCA